GUGGGGAAUAUUGGGCAAUGGGCGCAAGCCUGACCCAGCAACGCCGCGUGAAGGAAGAAGGCUUUCGGGUUGUAAACUUCUUUUACCAGGGACGAAACAAAUGACGGUACCUGGUGAAUAAGCCACGGCUAACUACGUGCCAGCAGCCGCGGUAAUACGUAGGUGGCGAGCGUUAUCCGGAUUUAUUGGGUGUAAAGGGCGUGUAGGCGGGACAGCAAGUCAGAUGUGAAAACCAGAGGCUCAACCUCUGGCCUGCAUUUGAAACUGUUGUUCUUGAGUGUCGGAGAGGUAAUCGGAAUUCCGUGUGUAGCGGUGAAAUGCGUAGAUAUACGGAGGAACACCAGUGGCGAAGGCGGAUUACUGGACGAUAACUGACGCUGAGGCGCGAAAGCGUGGGGAGCAAACAGGAUUAGAAACCCCGGUAGUCC
rnacentral:rRNA from 1 species